rnacentral:rRNA from 1 species
AUUGAACGCUGGCGGCAGGCCUAACACAUGCAAGUCGAGCGAGCGGCGGACGGGUGAGUAAUGUCUGGGGAACUGCCUGAUGGAGGGGGAUAACUACUGGAAACGGUAGCUAAUACCGCAUACCAUCGGAUGUGCCCAUAUGGGAUUAGCUAGUAGGUGGGGUAAUGGCUCACCUAGGCGACGAUCCCUAGCUGGUCUGAGAGGAUGACCAGCCACACUGGAACUGAGACACGGCCCAGACUCCUACGGGAGGCAGCAGUGGGGAAUAUUGCACAAUGGGCGCAAGCCUGAUGCAGCCAUGCCGCGUGUAUGAAGAAGGCCCUCGGGUUGUAAAGCACUUUCAGCGGGGAGGCGUUACCCGCAGAAGAAGCACCGGCUAACUCCGUGCCAGCAGCCGCGGUAAUUC